rnacentral:lncRNA from 1 species
AGAAAGAAUGAAGAGCUCAGGAAUAGACUACAUCACAAGAAGGUCAGGGUGCUUUCUGCUGAGUAUCGAUGAAAGCGGACAAGAAUAUAUACAGCAGAGCUCUUUUCGCUCUGUCUUCUUCAGUAAGCAAUGCUGGUGGAUUCUUCUGCAUCAACUUGGUUAAACUGAAACAACUUAUCCCAGAAUUUCUUCUGUAUAUAUUUCCAAGUUAGAGUCGGCCAAAAGAAAAAUUUGCACAAGAUCUGGAAGGUAGGAGUGAAACAGCAACCAAUAUUCUCUGAAGCUGCCAUGGUCAGAUGUAGUGAUAAACACAUGCAAAUUGCCUGACGGGUUUCACUUUUUUCUCACUCUUUUCCAUUCCACAUUCAGCCCUCUCCUCAAGUGACACAUCUGGUAACCCAGAAAAUACUCAGGCUCAUCAUCAGACACCUGGCUGCAGACCCACAGAGGCUAUAGCUGCAUAGAAGCAACAUUUCCCAUGGU